rnacentral:tRNA from 1 species
AGAAACAUGAAGUUCAAGUAAAAGCUGCUAACUUUUUUCUUUAAUGGUUAAAUUCCAUUUAUGUUUCUA